UGGGGAAUAUUGCACAAUGGGGGAAACCCUGAUGCAGCGACGCCGCGUGGAGGAUGACGGCCUUCGGGUUGUAAACUCCUUUUGUCAGGGACAAUGGUGAUGGUACCUGACGAAUAAGCCACGGCUAACUCUGUGCCAGCAGCCGCGGUAAGACAGAGGUGGCGAGCGUUGUUCGGAAUUACUGGGCUUAAAGGGCGCGUAGGCGGUGGUGUAAGUCUGGGGUGGAAUGCUACAGCUCAACUGUAGAGCUGCCUUGGAGACUGCAUUACUUGAGGCGGUGAGGGGAAGGCGGAAUUCCUGGUGUAGCGGUGAAGUGCGUAGAUAUCAGGAGGAAGGUCUGUGGCGAAGGCGGCCUUCUGGCACUUGACUGACGCUGAGGCGCGAAAGCGUGGGGAGCAAACAG
rnacentral:rRNA from 1 species